AUCACAGUGUCACCCAUUCUAUUCGGAAAGGUGGUACAAAAGGCGGCUAUGCUCUGUGUAAGGACUGUUAGAUACAUGUGUCUGUUUUUUCCCGUCACUAGAAGCCUGAGGGGAAGGUGGAGCCACAUGCUCAUCCCAAGAACUAUCUGCGAUGAGACGGUUUCCCCAGGACAAGUGAGAACUCAGAGAUAAAACAGCUUGAAGAAUGAAUUAAUGGGAAAGCCUGAGAGAGGAAGUCUAUAGACAAAGGGGGCAUUUUUUUUUGUUUUGUUUUUAAAAGACAAGAAAAUGCUAUAAAGAAUCCUGUAAAACAUCAAUCAAGAUAAAGUAUUCCUACCGAGCCAGUGGUCAGGAUAAUUGAGACAGCAGAGGCCAGUGUGGCGUUUAUGGCUCGGCCCUGGAAGUGAUGCAAUUCUCAUCCACCUUCCAGUGUCUGGAACUGAGCCAUGUGGUCACUUCUACCUGCAAGGGAAACUAGAAAGAGUCUGCUUGUGGCCCCAGAAGGAAAACAAACAAACAAAUAAGCAUUCUCAAGCAUUCGAUGAUUCUUUGCAAGUUUCCCCUUAACAGCUGAAGUGGCUUCCAGAGGCUGUUACAAGACUGUGAGACCUAAUACACGCCAGCAAAUGUCAGUUUGCACCAAACAGUGAGAGACGCCCUCCCGAAAGGCUCCCUGAAGGGAGGGUCAAGACCAGGAAGGACACAGCUCUCACAGACCCUGAAGGUCCCUUUGACCUCGCUGCCCCUCAUCUCCUGCUGUAAUUAGAAGCAGGCCACACUGAGACUCCAGAUGGCCCCGUCUCAGGAUUUUUGGAGACUGUAAUAUCAGCAGGAUUUCUUUUUUAACUUGGAAAACAAAUUGGUCUGAUGCCUUUAUAUUGAAUUGCUUGUUGUCUGCCUCUGACUAAAAGUCCCCUGAGGCCAUUUUAAAAAGGCAGCCCUAGAACUGCCGUGUCUGGUCCUUGAGCCAAUACAGCUCCUGAAGCCAGGUUGGCAUCUUCUGGGCAGAGAUUUGCUGGGGCAGCACAUUUAGAGGAGAAUGUACAGCUUUUGCUCCUUAGUAGUAAAUGGGAACUCACUGGAAGGCAGUGGUGAAUUGUGGGGACUCACUGGAAGGCAGUGGUGAAUUGUGGGGACUCACUGGAAGGCAGUGGUGAAUUGUGGGGACUCACUGGAAGGCAGUGGUGAAUUGUGGGAACUCACUGGAAGGCAGUGGUGAAUUGUGGGGACUCACUGGAAGGCAGUGGUGAAUUGUUGGGCCCCGUUAGCGGUCUCUGUAGGUGGACAGAGGGUUUCUUUGCUUGCCCAUUUCACAUCAACUUUGACUGUAGUUUGAGUCUUCCCUCUUAGAAAUUGAGUAAACAUGAAUUUCAUUCCCAGCACAACUAGCUCUCUUAUUUCCCUGUCUUGGGACCUUCCAUGGGCAUUUUGGAACAUAUGGGCAGGGGAAACUAAGGUAAUCUUAGGAUAGCCACAGUUCUAAAAGAAUUUUGACACAGCAAAUGUAGAAACAAUUUGUUUGCUCACUUAAGUAGAACAAAUAUCAAUAUUUUCUGGAAAUAUUUUCUAAGAUUAGUAAGUAUUAGAUGGACCUUGAUAAUUUAGUUUUAUUAAUGUUAUUUCAAGUAAUUAUUGAAUGCCUGGCUAGUGUCUUCAGGGAAGAAUGGUUGGCCCAAUUAAUUCUUUGAAUUUUUUUUAACCUUCCUAUUUCUAGAGAUGGUGGUUUAAUUAAAGGCUAAUGGCAUCAUAUUUUUUGUUAAUAGAGAAAAGUGUUUGAUUCCACUACUUGGUGUGUUAGAUUAAGGAAACAAACUCAUCAA